GAUGAAGAACGUAGCGAAAUGCGAUACCUGGUGUGAAUUGCAGAAUCCCGCGAACCAUCGAGUCUUUGAACGCAAGUUGCGCCCGAGGCCACUCGGCCGAGGGCACGCCUGCCUGGGCGUCACGCCAAAACACGCUCCCAACCCCCCUCAUCGGGAAUAGGGAUGCGGCAUAUGGUCCCUCGUCUCGCAAGGGGCGGUGGGCCGAAGAUCGGGCUGCCGGCGGACCGCGCCGGACACAGCGCAUGGUGGGCGUCCUCGCUUUAUCAACGCAGUGCAUCCGACGCGUAGCCGGCGUGAUGGCCUCAAAACGACCCAGCAAACGAAGCGCACGUCGCUUCGACCGCGACCCCAGGUCAGGCGGGACUACCCGCUGAGUUUAAGCAUAUCAAUAAGCGGAGGA
rnacentral:misc_RNA from 1 species